AAACCAGCCCUUGGGUCUCCGUUCUUCCACCCAUGAACAGCAGGAAAGAAUAGUCUAGUCCGGCCUUCCCUCCCAGAUUCCCCUUCUCGUGGCUCUCCUCUGUCUUCUUUUUCCUUAUCCUUUUCAAGUUUUGAUGCUCUUUUUUUUUUAAAAAAAUCUUGAUUGUUUGGUGUUCUUGCAGAUCUCGUGCUUUUCUUGUGCUUGGUCUUUGCUCUGACGGAUGGUUGGAUUGGAAGCGGAGCUCCUAUCAUUCCAAUGAAGGGUCCUUUCGCUGGGUUGGUACAGCUGCUCGUUCAUGGUUCCCACUAUCCUAUCUCAUCUCCUGGAGGGUUUAUCUCAGAGAGAGAGGGAGAGAUGAGUGGCCUGGUGUUUGGCUUGAGAUAGGCUUUGUGGCUUGCAUGACCGAGGAGCUGCACCGUUCCCUUGCUGGCCGCUCUUUGGAUUGAAGGGAGCUCUGCGUCUUGAUCCUACAACGCCUCCUCUGUGUGCCCCCCUCUAAUGGCUGCUACGGUUGUCAACAUUACAAGCUUAAUCUGUGUUGUUAUUACUCUUCAAUUUAUCUGUUCCCCCAUACAGUCAAUCAAGUAGCCGUGUAGAUCUGGAACUAAUAGGCUAUUCUAUUAGUACUUAUUUUCUCUCUCUUGUUAACCUGAACUUGCUUGGCCAAGUCACCUUCGUUUAUUUAUUCUGUGUGUGUGUGUGUAUUAAUAUAUAUUUUCCUCUUGUGCUGAAUCAAAGAUUCUACAGCUCCCCGGGCUCAUCUAUCCGUGCUGCUGGAUGCUGGCAAGUAAGCAUGGUACUUUAAGGUUGCUUUUUGCUGGUGAGAUGCAUGCUAUGUCACCCUUGUUUACUGUUAUUAUUCCCUUUGGCUUCUCCCGUGUGCAUUUGUGGUGGGGGUUCUUGGAUCUCGCCCAAGACGUCGUCGUCUCCCCGUCGUUCCACUUCCAGCCGCCGGUUGGCCUACCGUUUUCUCGCACCCUCUCUUUCCACCUGGCAGAUUUGCAUCAGGUGCUCGGGUUCGAGAUCGUCGAUCCAACGUGUAGAUGCUGCCGCUGGAGCCGAAGCCAUGGGAUGUUUGGACUUAGCUGUGAAGCCGGCGCAGACGACGCCCGAUGUUUCUACUUCAAAUCGGCGCAGUCACUGGUUCUGCGUGGCAACAUGUGUAUACAUUUGAAAAAUCUUUACUGAGGCCCUGUUUAGUUGAAACACAAUUUUUUUUUGAAAGAAUCUUGCUAAUUUGAAGUAUUAAAUGAAGUCUAUUUUCAAAACUUUUUUU